rnacentral:misc_RNA from 1 species
GGUACAAAAGGUUUGGACAAAGCAUGGAUGAAGUUGUCUCUGGGAAAGGAGGUAGAGUUAGUACUGUCGGAACUGACGUUGAGGUUCAAUCAAGCACGAAAAAGAACAGAACGAAGAGAUCGAAGAGCUAACUGUUGGAAUGUAAUUUCAAGAGAUUGGAGGUUGUUUGGCUGAGCACGGAGUUUAAGCUACUAACUUGGCAGUUUCCUCGUCUCUCUAUAGGUUUUUUGGUGAUAAAAACUUGAAUUGCGUGUAUUUAUACAAAUCCCAAAUGGUUAUUUGUGUUAGCAAUUGUAAUCAAGAUGAACUAUGUUGUUUUAUUUCCAACUAUACUAUUUAGUUUGUUACUGGUCAAGACUU